rnacentral:rRNA from 1 species
GAUUUCUGGUUUGAUGCGCUUGGCCCGCCUCCGUUAGGACGGUGAGUGCUGAUGCGCAUCUGCCAUCCUUCUAGAGAACUAUUCUGCUCUUCAAUGGGUAGGGUAGCGAUCUAGAUCUAUUACUUUGAAAAAAUUAGAGUGUUUAAAGCAGGCAUUUGCUAUGAAUACAUUAGCAUGGAAUAAUAAUUUAGGACUUCGGUUCUAUUUUGUUGGUUUCUAGGACUGAAGUAAUGAUUGAUAGGGAUAGUUGGGGGUGCUAGUAUUCAGAGGCCAGAGGUGAAAUUCUUGGAUUCUCUGAAGACUAACUUAUGCGAAAGCAUU